GACGAACGCUGGCGGCGUGCUUAACACAUGCAAGUCGAACGGAAAGGCCCUGCUUUUGUGGGGUGCUCGAGUGGCGAACGGGUGAGUAACACGUGAGUAACCUGCCCUUGACUUUGGGAUAACUUCAGGAAACUGGGGCUAAUACCGGAUAGGAGCUCCUGCUGCAUGGUGGGGGUUGGAAAGUUUCGGCGGUUGGGGAUGGACUCGCGGCUUAUCAGCUUGUUGGUGGGGUAGUGGCUUACCAAGGCUUUGACGGGUAGCCGGCCUGAGAGGGUGACCGGCCACAUUGGGACUGAGAUACGGCCCAGACUCCUACGGGAGGCAGCAGUGGGGAAUAUUGCACAAUGGGCGGAAGCCUGAUGCAGCAACUCCGCGUGCGAGAUGACGGCCUUCGGGUUGUAAACCGCUUUCGCCUGUGACGAAGCGUGAGUGACGGUAAUGGGUAAAGAAGCACCGGCUAACUACGUG
rnacentral:rRNA from 1 species